rnacentral:rRNA from 1 species
UUUCCUGGGGAAGGUUCGUCCGCCCAGGGUAAGUCGGGACCUAAGGAGAGGCCGAGAGGCGUAUCCGAUGGACAGCAGGUAGAGAUUCCUGCACCACUGAUAUACUUAAAAGAUGCAAGGGACACAGAAGUGGAAGGAAAGCGAGGAAGAGGAAAAACUCGUAUCGAAAGAUAUAGUGAAACAAUAGUAACGAAUUUCCAAGAAGCACGCUGGCGAGAAAAGCUUGUAGAUAUUGUAUAUAAGUGCCCGUACCGCAAACCGACACAGGUAGAUGAGGAGAGGAUCCUAAGAUGAGCGAGAGAAGCAUUGUUAAGGAACUCGGCAAAUUGACCCCGUAACUUAGGGAGAAGGGGUGCCAAGGUAACACUUGGCCGCAGUGAAGAGGUUCAAGCAACUGUUUAACAAAAACACAGGUUUCUGCUAAAUCGAAAGAUGAAGUAUAGGAGCUGACGCCUGCCCAGUGCUGGAAGGUUAAGGGAAGAGGUUAGAUUAUAUCAAAGCUUCGAACUGAAGCCCCAGUGAACGGCGGCCGUAACUAUAACGGUCCUAAGGUAGCGAAAUUCCUUGUCAGGUAAGUUCUGACCCGCACGAAAGGCGUAAUGAUUUGAACACUGUCUCAACAAUGUACCCGGCGAAAUUGUAGUACUAGUGAAGAUGCUAGUUACCUGCGACAAGACAGAAAGACCCCAUGGAGCUUUACUGUAGCUUGAUACUGGGUUUUGAUAAUUUAUGUACAGGAUAGGUGGGAUACUAAGAAGCAAGUGCGCCAGCAUUUGUGGAGUAGACGUUGGGAUACCACUCUUAAAUUAUUGAAAUUCUAACCUGUGAUCAUGAACUGGUCAGGGGACAAUGUCAGGCGGGCAGUUUGACUGGGGCGGUCGCCUCCUAAAGAGUAACGGAGGCGCGCAAAGGUUUCCUCAGCGCGGACAGAAAUCGCGCGAAAGAGUGCAAAGGCAGAAGGAAGCUUAACUGAGAGACUGACAAGUCGACCAGAUACGAAAGUAGGUCUUAGUGAUCCGGUGGUUGUAAGUGGAAAUGCCAUCGCUCAACGGACAAAAGUUACCCUGGGGAUAACAGGCUUAUCUCCCCCAAGAGUUCACAUCGACGGGGAGGUUUGGCACCUCGAUGUCGGCUCAUCACAUCCUGGAGCGGAAGUACGUUCCAAGGGUUGGGCUGUUCGCCCAUUAAAGUGGUACGCGAGCUGGGUUCAGAACGUCGUGAGACAGUUCGGUCCUUAUCUGUCGCAGGCGGAGGAUAUUUGAAGGGAGUUGGCCCUAGUACGAGAGGACCAGGCUGAACGAACCUCUGGUGCACCAGUUGUCAUACCAAUGGCACAGCUGGGUAGCUAAGUUUGGAAGGGAUAAACGCUGAAAGCAUCUAAGUGUGAAGCCCACCUUAAGAUAAGAUAUCCCAUUGCGUAAGCAAGUAAGAUCCCAUGAAGACUACAUGGUAGAUAGGUUGGGGGUGUAAGUACAGUAAUGUAUUAAGCUGACCAAUACUAAUAAAUCGAGGGCUUAACCA